GAUGCGGGAAGAAGAUUCAGAACUACAGGGAAAAUAAGCAAUGCAGUCAUUUCUCAACAGGCAGGCUGUUUUCAGGGGGCACUUGGCGACCCUCGCCUUGACAGAAGUGAGGCACAGUAUGCUGUUUGUGAAGAUGAAACCCUGUACGUGUGUUCAGAGGGCUGAGAUUUAUGGAAACAUGAGGGAUUUUAAAAAGAAGAAACCUCCCUGUGCCUGGCUGCAGGGGCAGGGGCAGUGGGGCCUCUCCUCCCUGGUGGUGCCAAGAGACCUGCCUCCUGGAAGUCACUGUUAGGCAAAAGUUCCGGUCAGAACCUCGUCUGACCUUCUGUGGGUUGCGAUCCAGACACAUGGAGGAGGUUGAGGCUCCACUGGGAGGGCAGGCUUGCCGUCCAGAAAUAGAGCUGGGAUAUGGAGUGUUUGAAAAGUCCCAGGACUUCUGGGGGACAAGCCUUGAAGUGUCAUGUUCCAGAUUGCACCAGUCUCUGGAAUCUACAAUUCUGGGGCUCUGUGUCUCCUCUGCGCAUCAGUUGAGCCCAACAACAGCAACAACACUGCUUGGGGUAGUGGAGCCAGCUAACGCCUGUACUUGGAGUUGCUUGGCUUCUUUGGAAAAAUGUGACCUGUUCCAGCCGGGAGUGAGAUCCAGAGAAGGGAAAGUGCAUCUGGCACGGGCCUGCCUUCUCUCCGAGAGGGAGUGUUUCCAUGGAAGGAAACCACAUGGUUUGCCAGGAUCUGUGAGCGAGGAGCUGUUGCUGUUCUGUGUGCCACUGUGCCCCGGCCAUUGGUGCAUUUGUGCUGGGCUUUGGAGCUGGGUGCCCAGGGUGAGGUCUCAGAUCUACUGCUUCCUGCUGUGCUAAUUGCCCCAGUGACUCCACUGCUCUGUGCCUCAGUUUCUUCAUUUGUAAAGCCGGGUACUCAUGUCACCCACCCCACAGGGCUGUGGGGGGAGAGGAGGGAACGCUGUGUGCUACCAGGGCACCAGGCUGCCUGCAGUGCGUGCCAGCCAUGAGCCAGCAAGGGGCAUGGCUCCGGAAGUCUUGUCGGUGGCUGAGCUGCAGAUAGCCUGUCCUGCAGUGGAUGGGUCCACCCGCCCAGAGACGGAAAACUUUAAGCCAUCAAGACCGACUGAAAUAGCAAGACCAUUUGCAAGAGGCCAUUAGAGACACGAAGCUGAAAGUCUUAGGAUUUAGGAUGCGUCUUGGAAACAAAACAAUGGAAAACAUGAGAAGGUUCUUGUGAAAUAUUAGGCUUGGAGACUGCUUUGAUGAAUUAGGAAAGCUGACUUGGAAAGCAUUCUACAUGGGCAGGGGUUUGUUUAUGGUGCUCACCUGAAAGCAAGCCAGCUCACGGCAGUUCUGAACGGCCCUAGCCACCUCGGCUGGCUUGGGAGGGGCUUCUGCACAUUGGCAGUGACGUGGAGCUGCAGAGCAGAGGACGCCAAGCAGAUAGAGCUGAUGCUCUUCGUGUUCUGCCCUGGUGCCGAUGCUCCGCGGAGCCUGCCCAGGGUGGUGAGCGUGGCUCUCCUGUGCGGGAGUUGGGUGGCAAUGGACGUACAGCCAGGGCACAGACUGCUGGGCCUCUGUGCACUCCAGCUGCUCACCCCUUUAGUAGUGCAGUGGCCGUUUUAAGAUCCCAAUUAAGCUUUUACGAGUUAAUGUGUUUGCCUCUGAAGCUGUAGAAAAGAAUGUGGCUGUAGCUGGUAAGCCCAGGGCCUGGCCAUCAGGGUUGGGUUUCCCAGCCGCAGGGCCCUCCGGGGCUCCUUUGAAUGCACAUGCCGCUUUUCACUGGAGUGAGACAAGAGCCUCAGUUACACAGCUUUACCAGUGACCAGUGGCUCAAUAAAGUCACAACGCGAAGCAGGUGGCAGUUGGCUGGAUGUCUUCUGUUCCCGUGGAUCCACUGGGCACCCGCCUGUGCUACUGGGUCCUUGGCCUCGUCCACCCUCUCACAGGCGCUCCGUGGGAUUAGUAUGCCUGAGGAUCUGGGGGUCCCAUCCUCCUUUAUUUGCUCCUGUGGCUCUGGGCGUUGUUGACCAGGUUAAAGGAAAUGCUUGUGCAGCUGGCGUGGUCACCACAGUUUUCACUGUGUCCUCUGCAUUGUGAGUGCAAGAAGAAGUAGGUCUCUGUCCGUGGCCGUGUGGGUGGGGGCGGCUGCGAGCAAGUGUGUUGGACUCACCUGGGCUUUUGCUCAUGCAGGACGCUGAGGAUUUGGAGUCUCUGCUAACUCCCGGGCCUCAGAUUUUUCAUGGCAGCACUGUUCGUGCAUGGCAGAGAAGACAAAAGAGACCCGUCUUGCCCACAAGAAGGUGAAAGGUGGCAACACUGCGGCUGCAACCCAGGAAGAGUAGGGCAACCAGAGGGCUUAUACAGAAACCUCAGAUUAUUUGUUCUUUGUCAUGAAAGCACAUCCUUGUGUUUCAUUCUAAUCUUAAAUUGCUUUGUAGGAUACACUGAUGCAAUCCCUGUUUACAUGCGCAUUAGUGGGGCUCUGCCUGCUCUGACAGAGUCUCACUCACUCGCUGUGGCGCAAUGCAAGCAUUCCUUAUCUAUUAUCACCCAGGCACUAAUUCAGUGUCUCUGUGCAAUUGGAUUUGGCUUGAAUUGGGGAUUCAUUUCUCAGCAGGAUUGCUCGAUGAAUUACUUUAUUGUCUCUUUGUUCCCUUAGUGGGGUCUUUUCAUACCAGUACAGGGGAAUGUUGCUUCUGGGCAAGUCCCAGCACAGGGGCAAGGCGGUGACUGACGGUGUCCUCCGGGCACUCGUUACCAGGGAUAGCUGCUUUCCUACUGUUUGGCAGCAAAGAGUUAGGAAGAAGAAUCUAAAGUUGGUUGUUUUAAACAAAGAAAACCCCACGAUAUAUUGGAAAUCCAUGCUCAAUGGUGAAGACUUUCUUCCACUCUGAAACACUGAGCGUCCCUGUUCCCCUGUGGUAGGAAAGCUUGAGCACCAAGGAUUCUUUGUGAACUGGAGAGGGAGAGCAUUGUCAAGAAUAUAACUGUGGCUCACAAACACCUGCUUACCCCCCACACCAUGCGUGCACAUACAAGUGGAUUUCUCAGCCAGUACCGGUCUAUUUCCCAAUUGCUUUAAUAGGUAAAAACUGGCAGGAUUUCCUGGCGGAGCAUGCAACUCUAAUUGUCUGUCUAGCUGAUACCUGUUCUGAGUUGCUCCAAGUAGAUUUGAAUAAAGCCCUCCUAUGAUCAUCCAACUGUGAAGCAUUCCAGUGGGCUUGCUUUUAAAGCUCCGUGGUUGCACAGACCAUAUAGAAUGGAUCGGAGAAGGACAAAGUCAGAGGAAGCUCUGCAUGGCUGCUGCUGGCUUCCCGACCUCUCUGGGCAGAACAGGCAGAACAGGUGUAUGACAAGGCGAACCCUACUCCCAGGAGACAGCGCCUCACGGAGCUGCGAGUUAGAGCACGCCCCAGGUUUUCAGGAGUGAGGUGUAAAAUUCCAGAGACUUGGGUUCAGUUCAGAUAAGCACCCACAUGUUUGGUUCUUCAGCAGAAACCUGUCUGCAAUGUCUCCACAGCCUGUGAACACCGCCUGGAAGCCGUACGGGGCUCCCUCCCUUCUGAGGCUCUUAGUGCCUCCUGCAGCGUCAGCCUAGAAUAGCCCGGCCACAUCUGGGCCACGACAGAAAGUAAUGAAAUAGUCUUCUCGCUUCCUGUUGUUUGUGUUAGAAGGUUGUGCUUACUGGACGGUUGUGAGUGCUUUACACGGAGACGAAGCACCAGCAGCGUCCAGACUGCGAGGCUCCUGUUAGGUUUUGGAGUCUGCGGAGGCAGCGUGGGGGGCGGCUCUCCUUCCACUCAGACGGCUGCCCAGAGUCUGCCAUUUCCCUUGAAGAGGUUACUUUGCUCUGAGUCUGGGGGAAAUGGCAGGACUGUGUAGUGCCCCCAGUAUCUGUGCUGGAGGCCCCAGUUUCCAGGAGGUGAUGAGAUGAUUGUGCUGACUGGCUAAUCUGAGUCGGUUUCCUGGACGCUGCACCCACAGGCUGUGUAGAGACUGAGAGGCGGGACAUCUCCUCUCACUGCAGAACCAGAGCUGGGCUGCAGGCUGGGACACCAGGGGGACCCCAGCUCUUCCUAAACUCGGGGCUGCUCUUGGAUAUCACAUAAGGUACUGUAUUAGGCCUCUUUGUGCAGCAAAAGCUAAUAACAAAAUAACUACUUACAUCAGAAGCAAAAAGAGAUGCCACCAUGGUUGGCAUGCAGAUGUUCCCGGGACAAACUCUUCUCUGGGGAGGAGGGAGGCGGUAGAAACAAGCCCUGAAUGACAGCACUGUGGGUGCACCUUGCACCUUCCCUUGGUGGGAAGCGUGGCAGUUUGCAUCUUGGCGGUGGAUCCCAGACUGAUGCCGAUAAUCUUCCCUGUUAGUCCCCUCUGCUCCUGGGCUAUCUGAUUUUCAAAACUGAAAAGGAAACUGGCAAGCAGCUCUCUCAGACAUGGCCUGCAUGUUUUCGCACUCCCAUCUAUUACUCAUUUUAAUACAACAUCAAAGCAAUUUGGAAAAGAUUUUCCACACGGGCCACAUUAAGGGACAGAACCCAGCCCUUGGACUUCACGGUGAGCUCCGUCCUUCCCAGCUACCAGGAAUGGCACUGAGGGAUCUGUCCUUGGAGGAACCUCCCAGUGGAGCCUGAUGGCUCAGGGCAGAGGCGAGUUGUGACUUGGCAAGCGCCUGCUCUGGUACAAGGAGGCACCGCGCUGCCCUGGGUGCGGGUGGCUUGGCCCACGUAUCUCCUGGCACACUGGGAAACCUGCUCUGUCUGGCGCAAGAGCCGAGCUGUCUGCGGAAACCUGGGGGCGCAGCCCCGGGGGGCUUUGCCAGGCUGUGCAGGUCUGACUGCUGCUAGGUCCCAAGCAGAGCGGCUGCACGCCCGCCUCCUCUGGGGAGCACUGGUCAUCUGCAGCUUGGGUCCCUCGGCAGCAAAGAGACCAAGGCCAACCAGGGAGCCAUCUCCUAAUUGUGGAGAAGCGUUAUUAUGUCUAAGCCCAAGUGAUAUGGAACAUUUGGAAAUACUGGAAGAGCAGACCAAAGCCUGUGGCUUUAGUGACCUGACCCCACCUAACGAGCUGCCCCCAGCCAUGCAGCCUCUCUGAGGGCUGAGGGCCACUGCUGCUGGGCUCCCUUCCCUGGGCCGCUCCCCUGGGUGGCAGGCUUUCAGAGACUUGCAGAUGAGAAUCAACAACAGCUUGCUAUGGAGAGUUUGGGGCCAAAAGGUCUAGGGCAGGAGGGGGAGGUGCUGGAGGGACAGAGGCACAUGCUAAGGGUGCGGCGUCCUGGGGCAGGCUGUGGGCCUAGGUCCCCCUGUGAGCAGGAGGCAUGGGGUGUCUGGACCCAGAGACGCCAAAUGCGCUCACUGCCUCCAUCUGACGUACAAGCUGCCAAGGUAUAAAUGCAGACACAUUUUUGGGAAAGAGGAUAUUCCUUUAACAGAGUUGGCUGGAGCAUGGAAUGGUGGGGUGAGCACAGCAUCCCACGGUGGAGGUCUGGAUGGCAGCGGCCAGUGCCCCUGGCUGGCUGGAACCUGGGCUUGGGCCACUGUGGGGCUGGAUGCUGGGGCAGGGUGCCAACUGCCCUGCUGACUGGACUCAGGGAAUUGCCCUGCUGUUUCCGGGCUUCCCUGCCCUGCAGAGGGCCGGCCCUGCCUCCAAGCAGAGAAACCUCCCGGUGAGGUCAGCAGGCAGGGCCCCUUUGCCCUGUGAGGUCAACAGCACAGGCCUUACAGACUAUCCGAAUGAAGCAUGUGCUUCAUCCAGCCCCCACAGAGAAAUAUUAAAAUUUAAGAAGCCAUUGCAUUAUUCUGUUAGAUCUGGCCCUCAGACUUUGCAGAGAGCUUUGAUGAACAAAACGACUCCCACAGAAUAAUUAUUUUUAAAUGCUCACACAUUUUAAGCUUCCUCAGUUGUGUGCUUACUGGGCUGGUUUGUUCUUAGACCUGCUUCUUUGUUGGAGCCGCUGGCCUGUCUGAGAAGCCUGGGUGUAGCCAUGCCGACAAGGCGAGUCCUGGUCCCCGUCCCCAGGCCACGCAGGGUCUUUCCUCAGCAGAGGCCUUCGGAGUCACCCUCUACCAGCCCCUGCUUGGGCUACGUUUUGCGGGCUUCACUUCGGUGCCGGGAUGACAUUCCUCGUACCUUCUCUCAGGCUCCCUUUUCCCUCUUCCCAUUUCCUCGUAGGCUUUGAUAUCAAAACAGCCCCAUCUACUUCCUAUUCCUGAACUCCCUCUAAGUGCCCCGGACUUUAUGAGCUCUGGGACUCCAGCAGGGGACAGGGGCUUGCCAUGCCUCAGCCUUGGGGGUCCCAGGGAGGGGAGGACAGAGCCCCUGGGCCCUGCAGCCGGGACACGCACAGCCCCACCAACUGCACGUGGGCAGGCAGCAGCCACGCCAGCUGAUCUUCCAGAAGCCCAGGUCCAUCGUCUGGGCCCUUGCUCUAACUAGUUGAUUAUUUUCAAGUGUUGUAUUAUGCUUCUCAGUAGCAUUUUGGAAGUCCGGCAUUUAUUUCCUGGAGGUUUUUUCCAGCCUCCCUUCUCUGCCAGAAACCCAGCCUGAGGAAACCACCAGACUGUGACCAGCUGGGGCAUCUGUGCCGUAGGUGAGCACAGAGCUGUCUCCGGGAUGCAGGAGGGUCUUGGAAAGCAGCAAGGGAAGGCCCUGCACCUCCUCUGCAAGCCUCCUCCACAGCCUGGCAAGCCCUCGCCCUGCUUGGGGGAGCAGCUCGCACGGCUUUCUGGGCCUUAUCUGACCUGGCCGUCUCUGGAUCAAAAACUGACCUGGCCCUCAGCCCUUGCCCUUUAACCCCAGCCCUGCCCUGGGCCCACAGGGCCGGGCAGCCCCAGGUCUGUGGAAUGCUCACCUCCAUUUCUUGCUGCCUAAGGCUUUGUUUGUUUACCCUUCCCACACCGGUCUGCUGCCCCAGCAGUCGGAGUGGGGGUUCUCACUUUUUUCUCUCAGUGUGUAAAAAGACAGACAUUUAAUGUUUAUUAUUGUUGAACUUUUCUCAGCAAAGCUGAAGAAAUAUAUCGAGAUGGUUUAUUCUCAGGGGAAUGAAUUCAGGCAUUUCACGACGGCACAAACAAUUAUCUUUAACAUAAGCCACUUAUUCUAUGUCUUCUUUGUUUAUAAAGAAUUUUCCUUAUUCAAUAUUAAUAAAAUGACUAAUGCACAUUUUGUGUGCUGGGUGACUAAUCCGGUAUUUUUUACCUAAUCCCACAUCUUUGGUGCUGAGAAGAUUCCCAUCCACACAGUAAUAUCGGUGCACUUCAUGAACCUUGCGAAGUCCCACUGCGCACCCCACACCGCACCAGGUGCUGGGAAUGCAACUCGGAACAUGACCAAGGCCGAAUGCGGCUACUCAGGGUUCAGUCCCAGUGCAGUCUUGGUUUGCUCCAAAAUGAACUUUUACAACAACUAUUGGAAUGGCAACUUGAAUUAGAAGGCCAAAGGGACCUUAAUAAAUCAUAAAACCAUAAGUUAAUUUCUUCUGGAGAACCUUAAUCCCAGGUCUUUUUAAAACUUACUUGUCAUUCAGUUUGUGAGUAGGAGCUUCUAUUAGUUUUUCAAACAUAAUACAUCAUACUUUCUGGAAAAGAGUUGUGUGCAGUGGCUAAUCUGUCCUCCCAGAUUCUGGCAUCUCAAAAUGCCCAGAGGAGGGUCUGAAAGGACUCGUGGAGCAUAAUUUCUCCCUGCUAGAGGCAGGCUGGUUCCCCUAAAAUUCACGAGUUCUCUCUGAAGACGUGUGGUGUCUGGGAAUCAGUAAUUUUGCAAAAUCAUGAUUUAAUUUAACAAUGUUGAUUUUGGUUGCCUUGACCAUACACAAUGAGCAUCUUCUGUGCUCUAGAAUAAAACUGGAGGCUAUUUCACCUUCAUCUUGUUUCCAUAACA